UACGUAGGUGGCAAGCGUUGUCCGGAUUUACUGGGCGUAAAGAGCGCGCAGGCGGUCGUCCAAGUCGCGUGUGAAAGCCCCCGGCUCAACUGGGGAGGGUCACGCGAUACUGGUCGACUCGAAGGCAGGAGAGGGUAGUGGAAUUCCCGGUGUAGUGGUGAAAUGCGCAGAUAUCAGGAGGAACACCGGUGGCGAAGGCGGAUCUCUGGGCCAUUACUGACGCUGAGGAGCGAAAGCGUGGGGAGCGAACAGG
rnacentral:rRNA from 1 species